GGGGUCGACUGGUUUUGACAGCGAGACCGAGUUAAUUGUAAGCAUGUAGAGCGCUGGGAAACAGCUCUUAAAUCUCAUUUUUCAUCUUUUUUAAACGGCGAGAAUAACUACGCCCUAGCUGCAUAAUCUGAAUUAUAGUAAGAUAGUGCCUCGGUCUACUAGGUAGACAAGCAGGAAAUCUCUCAGCAGCCUUGAUUUACGGCGACUGAUUAUGGGAUUUCGUAAAAGUAAAUCUAUCCUCAUCAGGGCUUUGAUGUUGAGGAGAAACUCGAUUGAAGACAAGCGUUACUUUGGUAGUUUCUAACCGGUGUAACGACUGAAAUUAAAUGGAAACUAAACAUGUAGAAGGCCGUUAAAUCGCUCGUUUGGACGAGAGUUCGAUUCUCUCCGACUCCACAA
rfam:Flavobacteria bacterium BBFL7 scf_1099451317783 genomic scaffold, whole genome shotgun sequence.